rnacentral:rRNA from 1 species
UACGAAGGGGGCUAGCGUUACUCGGAUUGACUGGGCGUAAAGGGCGCGUAGGCGGUUUGUACAGUCAGACGUGAAAUUCCUGGGCUCAACCUGGGGGCUGCGUUUGAUACGUAUGGACUUGAGUUCGGAAGAGGGUCGUGGAAUUCCCAGUGUAGAGGUGAAAUUCGUAGAUAUUAGGAAGAACACCAGUGGCGAAGGCGGCUCACUGGCCCGGAACUGACGCUGAUGUACGAAAGCGUGGGGAGCAAACAGG